GAUGAACGCUGGCGGCGUGCCUAAUACAUGCAAGUCGAGCGAACGGACGAGAAGCUUGCUUCUCUGAUGUUAGCGGCGGACGGGUGAGUAACACGUGGAUAACCUACCUAUAAGACUGGGAUAACUUCGGGAAACCGUAGCUAAUACCGGAUAAUAUUUUGAACCGCAUGGCUCAAUAGUGAAAGACGGUCUUGCUGUCACUUAUAGAUGGAUCCGCGCUGCAUUAGCUAGUUGGUAAGGUAACGGCUUACCAAGGCAACGAUGCAUAGCCGACCUGAGAGGGUGAUCGGCCACACUGGAACUGAGACACGGUCCAGACUCCUACGGGAGGCAGCAGUAGGGAAUCUUCCGCAAUGGGCGAAAGCCUGACGGAGCAACGCCGCGUGAGUGAUGAAGGUCUUCGGAUCGUAAAACUCUGUUAUUAGGGAAGAACAUAUGUGUAAGUAACUGUGCACAUCUUGACGGUACCUAAUCAGAAAGCCACGGCUAACUACGUG
rnacentral:rRNA from 1 species